rnacentral:rRNA from 1 species
AGAGUUUGAUCCUGGCUCAGGACGAACGCUGGCGGCGUGCUUAACACAUGCAAGUCGAACGGAAAGGCCCUUCGGGGUACUCGAGUGGCGAACGGGUGAGUGACACGUGGGUGAUCUGCCCUGCACUUUGGGAUAAGCCUGGGAAACUGGGUCUAAUACCGAAUAUGACCAUGCACUUCCUGGUGUGUGGUGGAAAGCUUUUGCGGUGUGGGAUGGGCCCGCGGCCUAUCAGCUUGUUGGUGGGGUAAUGGCCUACCAAGGCGACGACGGGUAGCCGGCCUGAGAGGGUGACCGGCCACACUGGGACUGAGAUACGGCCCAGACUCCUACGGGAGGCAGCAGUGGGGAAUAUUGCACAAUGGGCGCAAGCCUGAUGCAGCGACGCCGCGUGAGGGAUGACGGCCUUCGGGUUGUAAACCUCUUUCAGCACAGACGAAGCGCAAGUGACGGUAUGUGCAGAAGAAGGACUGGCCAACUACGUGCCAGCAGCCGCGGUAAUACGUAGGGUCCGAGCGUUGUCCGGAAUUACUGGGCGUAAAGAGCUCGUAGGUGGUUUGUCGCGUUGUUCGUGAAAACUCACAGCUUAACUGUGGGCGUGCGGGCGAUACGGGCAGACUUGAGUACUGCAGGGGAGACUGGAAUUCCUGGUGUAGCGGUGGAAUGCGCAGAUAUCAGGAGGAACACCGGUGGCGAAGGCGGGUCUCUGGGCAGUAACUGACGCUGAGGAGCGAAAGCGUGGGGAGCGAACAGGAUUAGAUACCCUGGUAGUCC